AUCACAUAUCAAGAGAGCCUUCGGCGCACAAGGGAACGUGAGCCGUCGACUCGUUUUGACCGCGUCGGCAACACGGACAGCACGCUGAACACCUCACAGCGAGCGCCAACAGCGGCCACUCAAGGGCGAGACGGUGGCGACCGUCGUGCCAGAGCCCAACCGAAACGGGGGCGACCGACUGCAUUGAGGAUGUGGCACCUCGUUGAGACCGCCGCAGGACUUCGAGUCGGAAGGAAGCCUGCAGGGAAAGUGCGGUCGAGGUUGCGUACUCCUCUCUGCGACCGGGCGCGCAAGAGCUGCGAGAGCCACGGACGCGCAACUUUAACGCACGGUAAACACGAGGAGCGAAAGCCGGCCAGCAAAGCUUCUCCAGCCGUGCGCAAAGUGCGCGAGAUCGCAGCCUUGCGUUGCGCUUGUUGCCCUCGAAGUAAGCUGGGUGUCCCGUAGACCGGGCGCUCGAACACGCUGCGGGGCCGUGCCUCCUCCAGGCUUUGCCGCGCGAACAGGGAACGUUCGCGCGCAAAGCGCAGGGAGGUGAGGAGGCUGCGCCCGACGUUUGCGGUUCGCUGCGUACGCGGUUGAUGCGGAGAGCACGGCGCGACGACUUGCCGCGAAGCGGAAAAAGUCUCCCGCACGAGUUGGCGAAACGUUGGCGAAGCUUAAGGCGUUCUCGUCGUAGUCCGCCGUCGGUCUAAGUGCUUCGCAGUUCCCGUCCCGUUCAAAAAACUGGGCCACUCCAGUUGGGGCGGGGGCGACGCUACACGAGACGAUGCCUCUCGCCAGGCUGCGUGGCUGCCCUUGCGGCGGCGGCGACUGGCCUCGGCGGUGUUUGGGCUUUCGACACGGUCGUUUAUCACGCAACUGCUCGGACGACGCACGCGCGCAGCGGAAUGCCGCUUGCCAGCCUUGUGAAGAUGUGACCCUGUACAGGGUUGCGGGCGCACUUGGUAGGGCGUCGUACUCGGUUCGCGAUGGGUUUACGAACGUGUCCCGUCACUUCCACGUCACACCGGUUGUGCGCCGCACGCGUGCAGCGGGGAAGCCGAUUGCCAGCCUUGUGAAGAAGUGGCCCUGUACAGGGUUGCGGGCGCACUUGGUAGGGCGAGCGCACGCGGUCGUGCAGGAAGUUGAUGGAAGCGAAUGUAUCCGCU
rnacentral:rRNA from 1 species